GCGCGCGCGCCGCGGGGCGGAGAAGCGGGCCCGGCGGCCGGCGAGCAUGGAGGAGAAGUACCUGCCGGAGCUGAUGGCGGAGAAGGACUCUCUGGACCCCUCCUUCACGCACGCCCUGCGCCUGGUGAACCGAGAAAUAGAAAAGUUUCAGAAAGGAGAAGGCAAGGAUGAAGAGAAGUACAUUGACGUGGUGAUAAACAAGAACAUGAAGCUGGGACAGAAAGUGCUGAUUCCUGUGAAGCAGUUUCCCAAGUUCAACUUUGUGGGGAAGCUUUUGGGUCCGCGUGGCAAUUCUCUGAAGCGCUUACAAGAAGAAACGCUGACAAAAAUGUCCAUCCUUGGAAAAGGUUCCAUGAGAGACAAGGCAAAGGAGGAAGAGCUGAGGAAAAGUGGAGAAGCGAAAUACUUCCAUCUCAAUGACGACUUGCACGUGCUCAUCGAAGUGUUUGCGCCCCCAGCCGAAGCUUAUGCCCGAAUGGGACACGCCUUGGAAGAGAUCAAGAAGUUCCUCAUCCCAGACUAUAAUGAUGAAAUCAGGCAAGCGCAGCUCCAGGAAUUAACAUAUUUGAAUGGAGGUUCAGAAAAUGCAGAUGUUCCAGUGGUUCGAGGAAAAUCCACUUUGCGUACAAGAGGUGUAACAACACCAGCAAUAACCAGGGGAAGAGGAGGAGUCACAACCAGGCCUGUUGCAGUUGGGGUACCACGUGGGACACCCACUCCCCGAGGAGUCCUUUCUACCCGAGGGCCAGUGAGCCGGGGAAGAGGACUUCUCACUCCCAGAGCAAGAGGUGUCCCCCCAACUGGAUACAGACCUCCACCGCCACCUCCAACACAGGACACCUAUGGAGAGUAUGACUAUGAUGAUGGGUAUGGAACGGCGUACGACGAGCAGAGUUACGACUCCUACGACAACAGCUACAGCGCCCCCGCCCAAAGCGGAGCUGAUUACUAUGAUUACGGGCAUGGACUCGGUGAGGAGGCUUAUGAUUCCUAUGGGCAAGAAGAAUGGACUAACUCAAGACAUAAGGCGCCUUCAGCGAGGACGGCGAAGGGCGUCUACAGAGACCAGCCAUAUGGCAGAUACUGAUUGUACUGUCUGAUGUUGUGAAAUAGCCAAUCUCCACCGUCCUGUAUACUGUUCAAAGAAAUGUUGACCACCCUGGACUGUCAGAGGAGCUCCCUGUGACUUAGAGCAGACAAAGAGUUCGUGGCCUCAUCAUACUGUAAAAGGGGAUGACUCCAGAGACUAGGAGCACCCUGGAAUAGGAGUGCUCUUAUGUGACUGCUGUGACUGCUGCAUUGUGACCUGUGGCUUAAGGGGAGCUCCUGGCCACAGAAGCUGUCAUCCAUCAUUGCAGGAACAGGAAGGAGCAGACACAGUCCCUGGGUGAACACACACCCAGGGACCCACCUCCUCUGAACAGGCUCACCUUCUCCAUUCCAUCACUUCCUCAGUAGUCUGUUCUCGAGUUUCUUGGUGGAUAAACUAUUGAUUCAUCAGAGCCAUCCUGAACGAAUAGCUUCUGAAGACUCACCUAGGGGCAGGCUUUACUCUCCUCCUAGGCAGUUCUCAGUGCCGUCUGGCUGAUAGGAUUAAACAUUGCAAAUGCAGGGCAUUUCAUUGCCUGGCCCCUGCUCCCCCAAACCUGAUUUCCUCCUGUAGUGCCCUACAUUAUGUUGCUUUCGUGUCUUCUGCUCCUGGCCUGUCCCUUCCUUGGAGUCCAUCUGUUUUCUUAGGUGAUGACAUGGGGUUCUGUGCUAGACAGAAGUUAGGUAGUGGGAAUAUAGUAGCUUAAAAGAUCCAGGACUCUAAAGUAAUUUGAAAUCCACCUGUGUUGGUGAAUCAGUAUUCCCUGCUCUUUUACACGUGGGAACCAACCCCAACCUUCAGGACUUAGCCAUGUCCCCUCUGCUGCUAACUAUACCAUCGUCCUCUGCCCUCUGAAGAGCUGGCUUUGUGACUGUUACUUCAUUUCAAUCUGGAUGUCAUCACAUACUGGUUGCAAGCUGUGUCGGUUGCCAAGCAUGUGCCUUCAUUUAAACGGUUUCAUUGAAUUCUAAUUACCAUAAGCGUUGUCAUCUGUGUUUUAUAAAGGAAACAACUGAAGCUUCAGGCGGUGAGGUCAUUAUGUCAGCUGCAGGUCCCUGUAGCUGGUGGAAGCAAGAUUUGAAUAUAGCCACUCUGAUCUAGACCCUCUGAGUUUCAAAACACUCCUUUUUCCAGUCUCCAUGUGAAACUGGUGUCGUCAUGAAACUGUAGGCGUCUUACAAGGAGGAGCUGUAUGCUACCUUAAGUCCCGCUGAGCAUCAUCCAGACAUCGUGAUUAUCUUCUCUCUGCCCCACGUUCCUGCAUAAGAAGAUAGAUUGAUUUUUCUUUAGGUCCCAAAUACCAUGUACUCCAGGUAUUCCAAGUCAAAUCAUAUUUACUAUUCACUUAGGGUAAAUAACUUCAGAGCAUCUGUUUGGCUACAGGCAGAAAAGAUACAGAGAUGAAGGCAGUUCCUGCCUUUGUGGGUACCACACCCUGCUUUGGAAAACAGCCAGCAAAGUACCAACCAGCCUGGCUGCAGGUACAUGUAAGGUGCUUUUUACAUUCAGGAAGAGGGAUGCAAAACCCAGGCAGGGUGGUUAGAGAGAAGAACUUACCAACAGGGGCUUAGGCCAGAUGAAAGAAUAUGCCAUCACAGGACUGGUGUGGGAGCGCGCGUCACCCAGUGCUACCGCACUUAACCCUUGGGUUAAAUGGCUCAGCUCCGCUCAACUGUAGGGUCCCCACCCGUGAAAUGAACAUGGCUGAGAUAACUAACUGCCUUCGUGUGGCUGUGCAGAGAGAAACGUUGCUCUCACCGGGUGCUGUGUACAUCUGCGGAAGAAAAUGUGGCCCUGGAAGGAAGACUCUGCUAGAUGGCAAGAGGGAGUGAGAGGAUCUUGGCAGGGUGAUCUUGAGGGCUGUGAUGCCUGUGCAGGAUCUCCGUCCACCUCACCUUCUGUGCCUACUGACCACACCUCCAGGCACUAAACUCCAUCCAGAACUCAGUGCAGAGAUCCUGGAGCCCUAACGAGUGCAGAGAACCCAGGUGCCCUGACAUCCCCCCCUCGUCUCUGACUCAUCACACAGCCCAAGACAGGGGAUGGGUUUAAUCACUCAGCAUAUAGAGAACCAUGCUAGCUGAGGUCCCCCUGGGGUGGGGGUCGGGGGAAUGUCAUGGAAAUAAUUGCAGUGCAGAGAGUCUAGUCCUCAGUUUAGCUCAAAAUUACACAGAGGUACACAUCAUGGUGUACAGAGAAAAGUAGUGUCUAAAACCGAUGCCUUAAAACUGUAGUCAGAAAUCCCACUCUCUAUGCUACUGUUUUCAGGUAUCUGUUGAGCAUAAAAUGAGGCUUAUGUUUCCCACACAGUGUUCUGUAGGGACAGGAAGGAGAGAGCUCGUCACUAGCUUUAAACUGGCUCAUAUAUCCUGCCUAUGUGCCCCGGUCUGGGGAAGUUAAGCAGGUUUCCAUCCUCAUUGCACCGUCUUUAUCUAAUGGGAAGUUACAGUCACUUGCAGAUGACACUGAUCCCCAGAGGACUCCACCACCAGCCCCACCUCCUUCAGGGGUCAGCACCCAGGCGGAAUUACCUUUAAUUCUUUCAGUGAAUCCUCAGCCAUGAGUGGAGCCCUGCAUGGGCUUGCUGCUGUCUCUUCCUCGGCCCUGCUGCCCACAGCACCAAAGCCUUGCUGUGCUCAGACCCUCACCACCAUGACACUCCUGUCUGCCCUGUUCUCUGCCCAGUAUCAUGUCGCCUUGCCCCAGUGGCCCAGCUCAUCAUCUUGCACUUCUCCGUCCCUUUCUGUGGGACUUGAAGCAUACCACACGCAGGCAUCCAUCCUCCCUGGCCAAUUGGUAUCUCUGUACCCAGUCCCCACUCAGAGACCCUUAGAACAUGGUGACUUCUGACACAAAUGUUCUCUGACUAAGUAUCUGCCCUUCUCUCUACUAGCAAAACAUUUCUUUGGUGCAGAUCUUAUGUAUUGUAGGUUGUGAAUGAUUAAGCAGUCAAAGGAAAGGGAAUGAAGUAGCUUCAUGUCAUCUAGUUUAGAAAAAAAUGGAUCAGGAUUUCUUUGGUCUUCUCUUACAACUUUAGAAACAGGUUGUAAUGUGUCCCCCUGUGUGUGUGUGUGUGUGUGUGUGUGUGUGUGUAAGAGAGACUUGUGUGUAAGAGAGACUUGACUACCAGUCUUGGCUGGAUUCACUUACCUGCUGCCCAUCACAGCUCCUAGUUUCUAGCUCACACUGACUUAAAGGGGCAGGCUGAAUGGUGAGCAGCAGCACCUGGCACAUGGUGGACUGGGGUCAUGCAAAUGAGCAAGGAGAGGCAGAGGUACUGAGUUCAGCAAAGACAGUCAUGGGUGCCCAUCUGCGUGCCUUACAGGAGGGGUGAAAUCCUUUCCCAUCUUCAGAUAUGUGUUCAGUUCUUCCAGGAGUCUGCUUGCUUUAGUGGUUACCUUUGCAAGGGCCAGCCAGUUGAACUGCGGGCUUCACACCACACUAGUAAAGGGCCUCUCUCCUGGAGCCCCGGACCUCUUGCAGAAACAGCCUCCAUAAUGUCUUUCCCCAUCUCCUGUCUUCUCUGAAUCCUGCCAGCCUCCCAAGACCUCCCUCUCUCAUCUGUAGCCACAAGAGCCUAUUUUUGUCAAGAGAUUACCAGUCGACAACACUCAGUCCAGGACCAAUUUUGAGCUUCCUUGUGUGGGUUGUUCUUCACCCCGCAGUAAGCUCCCAGUCAGGCUUAAGAACUUUACAUUUUAUAAACGUGAAGCCUUUAAAAGUUAUCCAAGAAACUAUCUAAACUAUCUCGGCGUAAAGGUCAUGAGACCUGCCAUAUUAAAAGUGUUUGAGCUCUCUAUAUUAAUGCUUAGAAAAACAGUUUGCAUCUGAUUCUUCCAUGCAGUAGUGGCAUGGUAUGCAGGCAUCCCCCUCAUGCUUGCUGUAUGUUUGGUACUAUGUAGGAAUAAAAGGCUCAAUGGCAGUAGAGGAGGUACAGAGUGGGAGCAGUGUAACUGGGUCUGUGAAGGGGAUAGCAGUUGAAGCUGAAAUGGGUUGUGAAAGACACCGUCACACAAGUAGGUGGAGAUGACAGAAACGCUAGAGCUGACAGGCUGGCAAAGGUGUGAAGCAGCGUAGGUGUUGGCUGCAUGGACUUGUGUGUUUGGGAACUUACUAGCUAUUGCUGGAAUAUGGGGUUGCCAGGAGACACAUGGAACAAGAUGCUUUAGAAAGACGGGAAAGGUGCUAAGGCUGAGCAAGCUGUGAGUGAUGCUGCUUUGUCCCCUAGCUUAGGCGUGUGUGGAUGGACACGGUCCUAUACUGGUGCUGCUCUACUCGGGCUGGUUCUCCUUCUAAGUGUCACCUGACUUUUGAACUAACAGUUUUUCCAUGGAGAAUACAUGGAAAUAAGUAGUCUGGUGUUAAUUAACUAAAAGGGUAUUUGAACAGUCUCUUAUUUAACAAGGAUGAAAGGAUGGUGCCAGGAUGGAAUCAUGGGAAUAUCCGUGUUUAGUCCAACAGUUGUGUGACACAGGCUUCACCAUUCUGGAUUCAGCCUUGAAUGCCACGGUGCACCAAGCUUGGUCGGCACCAUGCUGCGUGUCCUUCCGUGGUCUUCACAGCCACAAAUGUUUUCUGCCCUCACUAAAGCCAUUUUCUGCCACACUGCUUCUCAUACGUGUCCUUUGUGUCCUGAAUAUCUGCCUGUGUGCUUCUGAUGCCCAAAAUUCAUCUUAUCUUCGCUACCUUGUUGAUGUUUACAAAUGUAUUUCAUUUUCCUCUUUUUCAGGAACUGCUUCUGUUACGGGUUGCUUAGGGACAGUCACCUCACCGUCGUGCCUACUUAGUGAAUGAAUCCACGUGGGAACUUGACAGUCAUCAAUUGAUUAUUGUUGUUUUGUCCCUAAUUUGUGUUUUUGGAAUGUUUUUAUGAAACAUCUUUCAAUUUAGAAAGUCUUGUUUUUCUUUUUAAGGAAAGAAAGUUUUGUUGUCUCUAAAUAAGAAGAAUGAUUUGUAUUGUAGCUAAUAAAGACUCCCCGAUCCAAAUCUCUGACAUUUUAAUAUA